GAUUCUUUAGUAUAAAUAAGUAUAUUUGACUUCCAAUCAAAAGGUACCAAGGAUUA
rnacentral:tRNA from 1 species